rnacentral:lncRNA from 1 species
UAACAAUGGAACACAUAGCAUUGAUUCCAAAUAACGUUUUAUGUUCAUAGAAAAAGCAGCAUUUUCAUGUGUGUACCAGUGCCAGUUCAGAGUGACUCCACCUUGGCCUGUGGGUUUUCCAGCUUUAUAUCAGCAAAAGCAAGUCCAGAGUUAGGGCCUGGCUUCUCUCCAAUGUGUUGAACCACUUUUGGCACGUGCAGCUCUUCACACAGAGAGCCAGUGGCUCUCAGCACAGUUCCAAGGCUGCAGGAGAGCUGGAAACGCACAUCUCUGCUUCCCUGAAGGACCUGUGACAUCUGUGAGAAAGAGCAAAACCUCCCUGGCCACUCUUCCACCACAUCCUUUGAACCUUCUGCAGAUGAGCCUAAAGUGCUUUGUGCGUGAGAUUAAAAAGCUGCAAGUCUCAGGCCAUCUGGCCAACCAAAUGGAUUUCGUGUACAGGAUCACUGCCAGAUGUAUGCCAGUUGUAAGUUUAAUUUUUGAACAUAUAAAGUGCCU